rnacentral:rRNA from 1 species
UUUGCGCAAUGGGCGAAAGCCUGACGCAGCAACGCCGCGUGUGUGAUGAAGGUCUUCGGAUUGUAAAGCACUUUCGACCGGGACGAAAACCCCUUGGCUAACAUCCAGGGGCUUGACGGUACCGGGAGAAGAAGCACCGGCUAACUCUGUGCCAGCAGCCGCGGUAAUACAGAGGGUGCAAGCGUUGUCCGGAAUUAUUGGGCGUAAAGCGCGUGUAGGCGGCUUUGCAAGUCGGGUGUGAAAGCCCUCAGCUCAACUGAGGAAGUGCGCCCGAAACUGCAGAGCUUGAGUGCCGGAGAGGGUGGCGGAAUUCCCCAAGUAGAGGUGAAAUUCGUAGAUAUGGGGAGGAACACCGGUGGCGAAGGCGGCCACCUGGACGGCAACUGACGCUGAGACGCGAAAGCGUGGGGAGCAAACAG